UACAGAGGGGGCAAGCGUUGUUCGGAAUUACUGGGCGUAAAGGGCGCGUAGGCGGCGUGCUAAGUCGAACGUGAAAUCCCCGGGCUCAACCCGGGAACUGCGUCCGAGACUGGCAUGCUUGAAUCCGGGAGAGGGAUGUGGAAUUCCAGGUGUAGAGGUGAAAUUCGUAGAUAUCGAGAGGAACACCGGUGGCGAAGGCGGCCUUCUGGACAGUGACUGACGCUGAGACGCGAAAGCGUGGGGAGCAAACAGG
rnacentral:rRNA from 1 species